UACGGAGGGGGCUAGCGUUGUUCGGAAUUACUGGGCGUAAAGCGCGCGUAGGCGGACCUGCAAGUCGGGGGUGAAAGCCCGAGGCUCAACCUCGGAACUGCCUUCGAUACUGCGGGUCUCGAGUCCGGGAGAGGUGAGUGGAAUUCCGAGUGUAGAGGUGAAAUUCGUAGAUAUUAGGAAGAACACCAGUGGCGAAGGCGGCUCACUGGUCCGGUACUGACGCUGAGGUGCGAAAGCGUGGGGAGCAAACAGG
rnacentral:rRNA from 1 species